rnacentral:rRNA from 1 species
UACCUAUACGUUGCCUCGGCGGAUCAGCCCGCGCCCUGUAAAACGGGACGGCCCGCCCGAGGACCCUAAACUCUGUUUUUAGUGGAACUUCUGAGUAAAACAAACAAAUAAAUCAAAACUUUCAACAACGGAUCUCUUGGUUCUGGCAUCGAUGAAGAACGCAGCAAAAUGCGAUAAGUAAUGUGAAUUGCAGAAUUCAGUGAAUCAUCGAAUCUUUGAACGCACAUUGCGCCCGCCAGUAUUCUGGCGGGCAUGCCUGUUCGAGCGUCAUUUCAACCCUCAAGCUCAGCUUGGUGUUGGGACUCGCGGUAACCCGCGUUCCCCAAAUCGAUUGGCGGUCACGUCGAGCUUCCAUAGCGUAGUAAUCAUACACCUCGUUACUGGUAAUCGUCGCGGCCACGCCGUUAAACCCCAACUUCUGAAUGUUGACCUCGGAUCAGGUAGGAAUACCCGCUGAACUUAAGCAUAUCAAUAAGCGGAGGAA